GAUUCUCAGAUUUCCUUCAUGAGAUAUAGUAAGAGUUAGAACCUGAAAUUUGAGUAUGUUAAUCUACAUAGGAUUACGCUCAAAAUCUGUGAAGGAAGUUGGAAUCGAUUCAGAUCGAAAAUGGGAGUUCCGGCGUUCGUCAAAGAGGUACCGGUCGAGGUGGAGGAGCGUUCGAGAGCUGUGCGGUCACAGAGGGGAUUGUUCUGGAGCGUCGGUCCCUUGUCGGUCUUUUAGAGUCUUUUGUAUUUCCUUUUAUAUUUGUAAUUCCUCUGGUCAUAAUUUCGAAACAAAUAUUCUCUCUCUUGUUUUAAUUAAAUGGUAUUCUUAUCUUUU